rnacentral:rRNA from 1 species
UACGUAGGGGGCAAGCGUUGUCCGGAAUCAUUGGGCGUAAAGCGCGUUAAGGCGGUUGGCAAAGUUGGUUGUGAAAUCUCAGGGCUCAACCCUGAAAUUGCGACCAAUACUGGUCGACUAGAGUGUGAGAGAGGAAGGUGGAAUUCCCGGUGUAGUAGUGAAAUGCGUAGAUAUCGGGAGGAACACCAGUGGCGAAGGCGGCCUUCUGGCUCAUAACUGACGCUGUAGCGCGAAAGCGUGGGGAGCGAACCGG